UCCUGUAACUGAAGGACUUAGAAGUUUGC
rnacentral:piRNA from 1 species